AUUGAACGCUGGCGGCAGGCCUAACACAUGCAAGUCGAACGGUAACAGGAAGAAGCUUGCUUCUUUGCUGACGAGUGGCGGACGGGUGAGUAAUGUCUGGGAAACUGCCUGAUGGAGGGGGAUAACUACUGGAAACGGUAGCUAAUACCGCAUAACGUCGCAAGACCAACGAGGGGGACCUUCGGGCCUCUUGCCAUCGGAUGUGCCCAGAUGGGAUUAGCUAGUAGGUGGGGUAACGGCUCACCUAGGCGACGAUCCCUAGCUGGUCUGAGAGGAUGACCAGCCACACUGGAACUGAGACACGGUCCAGACUCCUACGGGAGGCAGCAGUGGGGAAUAUUGCACAAUGGGCGCAAGCCUGAUGCAGCCAUGCCGCGUGUAUGAAGAAGGCCUUCGGGUUGUAAAGUACUUUCAGCGGGGAGGAAGGGAGUAAAGUUAAUACCUUUGCUCAUUGACGUUACCCGCAGAAGAAGCACCGGCUAACUCCGUG
rnacentral:rRNA from 1 species